GCAGAACGCGAAGAACCUUACCAGGUCUUGACAUCCUCUGACAACUCUAGAGAUAGAGCGUUCCCCUUCGGGGGACAGAGUGACAGGUGGUGCAUGGUUGUCGUCAGCUCGUGUCGUGAGAUGUUGGGUUAAGUCCCGCAACGAGCGCAACCCUUGAUCUUAGUUGCCAGCAUUUAGUUGGGCACUCUAAGGUGACUGCCGGUGACAAACCGGAGGAAGGUGGGGAUGACGUCAAAUCAUCAUGCCCCUUAUGACCUGGGCUACACACGUGCUACAAUGGAUGGUACAAAGGGCUGCAAGACCGCGAGGUCAAGCCAAUCCCAUAAAACCAUUCUCAGUUCGGAUUGUAGGCUGCAACUCGCCUACAUGAAGCUGGAAUCGCUAGUAAUCGCGGAUCAGCAUGCCGCGGUGAAUACGUUCCCGGGUCUUGUACACACCG
rnacentral:rRNA from 1 species